AACCCACUUAAUCAGCUACAUAUCAACAUCAACAGCAUCAACGGUGUGUUGCCAGUUCAAUUUGCAAGGAAGCUUUUGAAAAUGCUCAAGGAGAAGGAGAGUGUAUUAGGUUGAUUGAAUUUGAUUUUGAAGCUUGGGAAGAGAAUUGGUUCUCAAGGUUUGAUUUUCAUGUGUUUGGUUUUUGGUUUAGUCAAUUCUUUGCUGAAAAGUUGUAUUCCGUUGAGCUACGAUUUUUUGUACGUUGACUUUAUCGAUUUAAUCUUUAGUAUGUGAACAUCUUUCUAACGUUUUCAAUGUAAAUAUCAUUAAUCUUCUAUCACAAUGAGCAAUUUUUUAUAUCAUUCAAACGUAAUCUUUCUUACAAUUUUUUAUCUUACCACAACGUUCGGAUAACAUUUUCUAGUUAUCUAUUCUAAAGUUGAGGAGGGAUUUGACUGUAGCUUAGCUACAGUUAAAUUAUUGGCUCUCGAUUUUGCUUUAUUUAAAUCAACACCAUCAUAUCUCUGGCUGGGUUGGAAGGUAAUUAUCAAAAGUUAGGAGAGUAAUUUUGCCCGUAGGGUUUGGGAUGGAUUGGGUGGCUUAGCGCAUAGAGAGGGAGAUGGAGAGCGAAACGGUGUUGUCAUUCGGUGAGGGUUUCGGGGAUGGGAGGCCAUGCCGCCUCUGAUAUAGAGAUAGAGAGAGAGAGGGUGAGGGAGACAGAGCGACAGAGAGAGAGGGAGACUGAGGAGUAGGGAUCACUGCUACUGACGACUCGGUCACUGUCUCAGAUCUCCUCCUCAACGCCAACGCCCACCGAGUCCAGUGUCUCGCUCUCCAAGCCCAAAGAAGGCAGCUUCGCCGACAUGAUCGAUAAAGCUUUGGAGAACGAGUUCAAAGAGAAUGAUUAGAACGAAGUGGAACUCUCUCCUCCCCAUACUCAACCCUCUACUUCUUCUCUGAUUCGUGGUUGGGUGCAGCGGCAGCACAGAGCUUUCGCCGGAGGAAGAAAGGAUUUUUAUACGAGACAUUGCUUUGGCUGCUGAAGCCAAUUUCAAAGAGGGCGAUGUCGUCUACUUGCUCACCCGAAGGUUUGCAUGGAAGAUGAGAAGACGAUCUCUGUAUCCUUUGAAACACGUAUUUUGGAAAGCUUGAUGAUUGGCCUAUGUUUCAUGAACAGGUUUGCAUGGAAGAUGAGAAGACGAUCUCUGUAUCCUUAGAAACAUGUAUUUCAGAAAGCUUGAUGAUUCGCCUAUGUUUUCGCGAACAGGCAGUGGCACAUAUUUGGGCAGGGCUUGGAGAGCCGGACCCCAGAUGGUGUAUGCCUACACCAGCAUGACUAAGGUGGUUAACCCUGCCGGCUGGAGCGACGAUGACCACACCGAACGUGACAAAAAUGUGGCCUACAAAGAGUACAAGUGCAUGGGUCCGGGUUCGUGUACUUAAAAUAAGAGAAAUUUGAGCAAAUAACUGACAGAAAUUUGAGCAAACUGACUGACAAAUAAGUCAAGCCUUUCACUAGCCUUGGAUGUAUUCAGGGUAUGGUUGCUUCCUCCUCCAUAUCGAAAAGUGUGUCUAUAUAUAUAUAUAUAUAUAUAUAUAGAUUAGGUCUUCGACUGUUUUGGAGGAACUUCCACUUUCACUGGGUCCUGCUUCAUUACUGUAUUGUUCACAUGUUCGCUUAAUCAUGUCUCGUUGUACAGUUUUUUAUUCCUCAAAAUCACAAUUGGUAAUAUCCUCACACAAAGAAAUGCUUCUGUUGGAAUAUUGUUUCA